rnacentral:rRNA from 1 species
GUGGGGAAUAUUGGACAAUGGGGGGAACCCUGAUCCAGCCAUGUCGCGUGUGUGAAGAAGGCCUUUUGGUUGUAAAGCACUUUAAGCGAGGAGGAGGCUACCGAGAUUAAUACUCUUGGAUAGUGGACGUUACUCGCAGAAUAAGCACCGGCUAACUCUGUGCCAGCAGCCGCGGUAAUACAGAGGGUGCAAGCGUUAAUCGGAUUUACUGGGCGUAUAGCGCGCGUAGGUGGCCAAUUAAGUCAAAUGUGAAAUCCCCGAGCUUAACUUGGGAAUUGCAUGCGAUACUGGUUGGCUAGAGUAUGGGAGAGGAUGGUAGAAUUCCAGGUGUAGCGGUGAAAUGCGUAGAGAUCUGGAGGAAUACCGAUGGCGAAGGCAGCCAUCUGGCCUAAUACUGACACUGAGGUGCGAAAGCAUGGGGAGCAAACAGGAUUAGAUACCCUUGUAGUCC